UACAGAGGUCUCAAGCGUUGUUCGGAUUCAUUGGGCGUAAAGGGUGCGUAGGUGGCGCUGUAAGUCGGGUGUGAAAUCUCGGAGCUUAACUCCGAAACUGCAUUCGAUACUGCCGUGCUUGAGGACUGGGGAGGAGACUGGAAUUUACGGUGUAGCGGUGAAAUGCGUAGAUAUCGUAAGGAAGACCAGUGGCGAAGGCGGGUCUCUGGACAGUUCCUGACGCUGAGGCACGAAGGUCAGGGGAGCAAACGGG
rnacentral:rRNA from 1 species